AGGUGAUUAGUCUAAUUAAGACCAUUAAUUUCGACUUAAUAAAUCAUGAUUGACCCCAUGAUCACCCC
rnacentral:tRNA from 1 species